CCUACGGGUGGCAGCAGUGAGGAAUAUUGGUCAAUGGGCGCAAGCCUGAACCAGCCAAGUCGCGUGAAGGAUGACGGCCCUACGGGUUGUAAACUUCUUUUAUAAAGGAAUAAAGCUAGACACGUGUGCCUUUUUGUAUGUACUGUAUGAAUAAGGAUCGGCUAACUCCGUGCCAGCAGCCGCGGUAAUACGGAGGAUCCGAGCGUUAUCCGGAUUUAUUGGGUUUAAAGGGAGCGUAGGUGGGUUGUUAAGUCAGUUGUGAAAGUUUGCGGCUCAACCCUAAAAUUGCAAUUGAUACUGGCAGUCUUGAGGACAGUUGAGGUAGGCGGAAUGCGUGGUGGAGCGGUGAAAUGCUUAGAUAUCACGAAGAACUCCGAUUGCGAAGGCAGCUUACUAAGCUGUAGCUGACAUUGAGGCACGAAAGCGUGGGUAUCAAACAGGAUUAGAUACCCGUGUAGUC
rnacentral:rRNA from 1 species